UACGGGAGGCAGCAGUGGGGAAUCUUGCGCAAUGGGCGAAAGCCUGACGCAGCAACGCCGCGUGCGGGAUGAAGGCCUUCGGGCUGUAAACCGCUUUCAGCAGGAACGAAAAUGACGGUACCUGCAGAAGAAGGAGCGGCCAACUACGUGCCAGCAGCCGCGGUGACACGUAGGCUCCAAGCGUUGUCCGGAUUUAUUGGGCGUAAAGAGCUCGUAGGCGGUUUAGUAAGUCGGGUGUUAAAACUCUGGGCUCAACCCGGAGAGGCCAUCCGAUACUGCUGUGACUUGAGUUCAGGAGGGGAGCGGGGAAUUCCUAGUGUAGCGGUGAAAUGCGCAGAUAUUAGGAGGAACACCGGUGGCGAAGGCGCCGCUCUGGACUGAAACUGACGCUGAGGAGCGAAAGCAUGGGUAGCAAACAGGAUUAGAUACCCUGGUAGUCCAUGCCGUAAACGGUGGGCACUAGGUGUGGGUUCCAACUAACGGGAUCCGCGCCGUC
rnacentral:rRNA from 1 species